rnacentral:lncRNA from 1 species
AACAAUCUAUUGUGUUUUAACUAUAUUUGGUUUUCUUUCAAGGAAAUAAAGCCAGUCCUACCUACCCUACCAAGAAGAUACUUUGUUUCUGAAAACUUUUGGAGGACACCAUUGUGCAGAAUUUUGAGCAUAAGCAGAACUUAAGUGCUUCAAGACACUUCUGAAUCUCUUCAUUAGCUUCUCCUCAACUUGUGCCUGCCUUUUCUGCUUGCAACCAAGUUAUCCUUCACUAAGAGAUAAUGACAAACAUGAGUCUAGGACUUGAAGUCGCCUGUGCUUUCCUCCUUAAAGUGUUGCUGUCCCUCCCUUUAAGAGGGGAGGCUAGUUCUCUCCCUUUGAAUCUCCACUGAUUUUGACUCACCACACCUUCCAUUUUUGUUCAGGAAAGGCAGCCAUGAUGCUGCAAAUAAAAGUAAGCUCAAGAUUGGUAAAUAAAUGCUA